GGAAUAUUGGUCAAUGGGCGAGAGCCUGAACCAGCCAAGUAGCGUGCAGGAAGACGGCCCUAUGGGUUGUAAACUGCUUUUAUACGGGGAUAAAAUGAGGGACGUGUCCCUUAUUGUAGGUACCGUAUGAAUAAGGACCGGCUAAUUCCGUGCCAGCAGCCGCGGUAAUACGGAAGGUCCGGGCGUUAUCCGGAUUUAUUGGGUUUAAAGGGAGCGCAGGCUGAUUGUUAAGCGUGACGUGAAAUGUAGCCGCUCAACGGCUGCACUGCGUCGCGAACUGGCAGUCUUGAGUGAGUACGACGUCAGCGGAAUUCGUGGUGUAGCGGUGAAAUGCUUAGAUAUCACGAAGAACCCCGAUUGCGAAGGCAGCCUGCCAGGUUGUAACUGACGCUAAUGCUCGAAGGUGCGGGUAUCGAACA
rnacentral:rRNA from 1 species